rnacentral:rRNA from 1 species
UACGAAGGGUGCAAGCGUUACUCGGAAUUACUGGGCGUAAAGGGUGCGUAGGUGGUUUUUUAAGUCCGUUGUGAAAUCCCUGGGCUCAACCUGGGAAUUGCAGUGGAUACUGGCAGGCUGGAGUACGGUAGAGGAAGGUGGAAUUCCCGGUGUAGCAGUGAAAUGCGUAGAUAUCGGGAGGAACACCAGUGGCGAAGGCGGCCUUCUGGACCAGUACUGACGCUCAUGCACGAAAGCGUGGGGAGCAAACAGG